UACGAAGGGGGCAAGCGUUGUUCGGAAUUACUGGGCGUAAAGGGCGCGCAGGCGGCCGAUCAAGUCAGAUGUGAAAGCCCCGGGCUCAACCUGGGAAUAGCAUUUGGGACUGGUCGGCUAGAGUUCGGGAGAGGAGAGUGGAAUUCCCAGUGUAGAGGUGAAAUUCGUAGAUAUCGAGAGGAACACCGGUGGCGAAGGCGGCCAACUGGACGAAUACUGACGCUGAGACGCGAAAGCGUGGGUAGCAAACGGG
rnacentral:rRNA from 1 species